GUAGGAGUGAGCCUGCUCGCGAUGGCGGUGUGUCAGUCAGCCGACGUUUUAUUGAUAAACCGCUAUCGCGAGCAGGCUCACUCCUAC
rnacentral:antisense_RNA from 1 species